GGUUUUUUUGUGUCCCCACUCAAAUCUCAUCUUGAGUUGUAACUCCCACAAUUCCAAUGUGUCAUGGAAGGAACCUGGUGGGGGGUGACUGAAGUUUGAGGGUG